CAAAAGGCAAUCAGGAAACGGCACAGGGCACCGAACCUCACAUGGCUUUGAAGUCAAUCAAUCAGUCCAGUGCAAGAGAAGCUGAGAAAGGCGAAUAAAAUGUCACUGAUUGCAAAAAGAGAGAGGAAACCUCUUAACCUGGAAGUCCUUUCCAAAGACGAUGGAAUGACCAGAACAUAUAUUUUAAGAAUUUUCCAAUCAUGGAGAUCUUUGGAACAGGAUCAAAACAGAAGUGAAACCAACAACGCUUAGGGGAACCACCCGAAGGAAGGAAAAAGAACAAAACUAUGCUAUGGAGCCCUGAGGAGAUUCUACCCACACUGCACAUAAAGAACAUGUUUGGUGUGUUUACAAAAUCAUCCAGGUAAUAUGGUCAAGCUCAAAUUUGAAAAUACAUGCACUGGUUUGUUUAUGUAGGAAUGUCUAGUAUUUAUCAUGCCAUGGGAAAUCAAUUGUUCUGCAUCAUCAAAAUCCAACAGCAACCAUAGAAUGCUCCAUAUUAUUUUGUUUGCAAUGGAAUAAUAUGGCUUCUGUAACACAUGCACAGUCCCACUCUGUUUCAGUUGUUGUGAACAUCCUUCUGUAAUGUGAACAUUCACACAUAUUGAAAGGGUUGCUCUGUAGCCUUUAACAAUAUUCUAACUGUUUUACUGGCAAUCAGCAUAUAUGAAGUGUUUUCAUAAAAACAGAUUUGAUAACAAAGAAUUAAGAGAGAUCUCUCCUGGUUCCUACUCCAGUCCUCUGAAGAUGACGGCCACAGAGACUGGUGAAACAUCAGGAAGAACAAC